GGGGAAUCUUGCACAAUGGGCGAAAGCCUGAUGCAGCGACGCCGCGUGCGGGACGAAGGCCUUCGGGUCGUAAACCGCUUUCAGCAGGGACGAGGCCGCAAGGUGACGGUACCUGCAGAAGAAGCCCCGGCUAACUACGUGCCAGCAGCCGCGGUAAUACGUAGGGGGCAAGCGUUAUCCGGAUUCAUUGGGCGUAAAGAGCUCGUAGGCGGCCCGUUAGGUCAGGAGUCAAAUUCGGGGGCUCAACCCCCGCGCGCUUCUGAUACCGGCGGGCUUGAGUUUGGUAGGGGAAGGUGGAAUUCCCAGUGUAGCGGUGGAAUGCGCAGAUAUUGGGAAGAACACCGGUGGCGAAGGCGGCCUUCUGGGCCACAACUGACGCUGAGGAGCGAAAGCUAGGGGAGCGAAC
rnacentral:rRNA from 1 species